UUCUCUACUAAAUAUUUAAAGUCCUGAGUCUCUUUAUAUUUUUAGCAUGUAUCCAUUCAGGCUAACCACAUCUCAAGUUCUCCCGCAGACACAGGUGGCUACUGGCUACUCUACUCAAUAGACACGUGGCUACUGUACUUAACAGACAUGUGGCUUCUGGCUACUCAACAGACACAGGUGGCUGCUGGCUGCUGUACUGGCCAGUGAUGGCUUUUAAAUUCUAUUCCAAAGAUACAUGAAACAUUUGAGCAGUACUUUCAAGGGUGCAACCCCAGUUUU